rnacentral:rRNA from 1 species
UACGAAGGGGGCUAGCGUUAAUCGGAAUUACUGGGCGUAAAGCGUGCGCAGGCGGUUAUGCAAGACAGAUGUGAAAUCCCCGGGCUUAACCUGGGAACCGCAUUUGUGACUGCAUAGCUGGAGUACGGCAGAGGGGGAUGGAAUUCCGCGUGUAGCAGUGAAAUGCGUAGAUAUGCGGAGGAACACCGAUGGCGAAGGCAGUCCCCUGGGCCUGUACUGACGCUCAUGCACGAAAGCGUGGGGAGCAAACAGG